CGAAACCGACACAGGUGGUCAGGUCGAGAAGACCAAGGCGCUUGAGAGAACUCUGCUGAAGGAACUAGGCAAAAUAGCACCGUAACUUCGGGAGAAGGUGCGCUGUUGGUUGUUAAGGAUUUACUCUGUAAGCAACCGGCAGCCUCAGUAACCAGGCCGCUGCAACUGUUUAUUAAAAACACAGCACUCUGCAAACACGAAAGUGGACGUAUAGGGUGUGACGCCUGCCCGGUGCCGGAAGGUUAAGUGAUGGGGUGCAAGCUCUUGAUCGAAGCCCCGGUAAACGGCGGCCGUAACUAUAACGGUCCUAAGGUAGCGAAAUUCCUUGUCGGGUAAGUUCCGACCUGCACGAAUGGCGUAAUGAUGGCGGCACUGUCUCCAGCAGAGACUCAGUGAAAUCGAAAUCGCGGUGAAGAUGCCGUGUACCCGCGGCUAGACGGAAAGACCCCGUGAACCUUUACUGCAGCUUUGCACUGGACUUUGAUCUUGCUUGUGUAGGAUAGGUGGGAGGCUUUGAAGCGUGGACGCUAGUUCGCGUGGAGCCAUCCUUGAAAUACCACCCUGGCAAUAUUGAGGUUCUAACCAUGUCCCGUUAUCCGGGAUUGGGACAGUGUAUGGUGGGUAGUUUGACUGGGGCGGUCUCCUCCUAAAGAGUAACGGAGGAGUACGAAGGUGCGCUCAGCGUGGUCGGAAAUCACGCGUAGAGUAUAAAGGCAAAAGCGCGCUUAACUGCGAGACCGACAAGUCGAGCAGGUACGAAAGUAGGUCUUAGUGAUCCGGUGGUUCUGUAUGGAAGGGCCAUCGCUCAACGGAUAAAAGGUACUCUGGGGAUAACAGGCUGAUACCGCCCAAGAGUUCAUAUCGACGGCGGUGUUUGGCACCUCGAUGUCGGCUCAUCUCAUCCUGGGGCUGAAGCAGGUCCCAAGGGUAUGGCUGUUCGCCAUUUAAAGAGGUACGCGAGCUGGGUUUAGAACGUCGUGAGACAGUUCGGUCCCUAUCUACCGUGGGCGUUGGAGACUUGAAAGGAUCUGCUUCUAGUACGAGAGGACCGAAGUGGACGCACCUCUGGUGUUCCGGUUGUCACGCCAGUGGCAUUGCCGGGUAGCUACGUGCGGAAGGGAUAACUGCUGAAAGCAUCUAAGCAGGAAGCCCACCUUAAGAUUAGGUCUCCCUGAGGGUUCGACCCUCCUAAAGUGCCGUUCGAGACCAGGACGUUGAUAGGUUCGGUGUGGAAGCACGGUGACGUGUGAAGCUAACGAAUACUAAUUGCACGUGAGGCUUGACUAU
rnacentral:rRNA from 1 species